CACGUAGGGUGCAAGCGUUGUCCGGAAUCAUUGGGCGUAAAGAGCUCGUAGGCGGCUUAGUAAGUCGGGGUGUGAAAACUCUAGCUCAACCUAGAGACGCCACCCCGAUACUGCUAUAGCUAGAAUCCAGUAGGGGGAGUGUGGAAUUCCCAGUGUAGCGGUGAAAAUGCGCAGAUAUUUGGGGAGGGAACACCCAGCGGGCGAAAGGCGGCACUCUGGGGCUGGUAUUGACGCUGAGGGAGCGAAAAGCGUGGGUAGCGAACAGG
rnacentral:rRNA from 1 species